UACAGAGACCCCGAGCAUUAUCCGGAUUUAUUGGGCGUAAAGGGUUCGUAGGCGGCUUUGUAAGUCAUUUGUUAAAUCCUCAGGCUCAACCUGGGGGCUGCAGGUGAUACUGUAAGGCUCGAGUGUGGGAGAGGCAUAUGGAAUGCCCGGUGUAGCGGUAAAAUGCGUUAAUAUCGGGUAGAACACCAAAGGCGAAAGCAAUAUGCUGGAACACAACUGACGCUCAUGAACGAAAGCGUGGGUAGCGAAAGGG
rnacentral:rRNA from 1 species